rnacentral:rRNA from 1 species
AUUGAACGCUGGCGGCAUGCUUUACACAUGCAAGUCGAACGGUAACAGGCCGCAAGGUGCUGACGAGUGGCGAACGGGUGAGUAAUGCAUCGGAACGUGCCCAGUCGUGGGGGAUAACGCAGCGAAAGUUGCGCUAAUACCGCAUACGAUCUAUGGAUGAAAGCGGGGGACCGUAAGGCCUCGCGCGAUUGGAGCGGCCGAUGUCAGAUUAGGUAGUUGGUGGGGUAAAGGCCCACCAAGCCAACGAUCUGUAGCUGGUCUGAGAGGACGACCAGCCACACUGGGACUGAGACACGGCCCAGACUCCUACGGGAGGCAGCAGUGGGGAAUUUUGGACAAUGGGCGCAAGCCUGAUCCAGCAAUGCUGCGUGCAGGAAGAAGGCCUUCGGGUUGUAAACUGCUUUUGUACGGAACGAAACGGCUCCGGUUAAUACCUGGGGCUAAUGACGGUACCGUAAGAAUAAGCACCGGCUAACUACGUGCCAGCAGCCGCCGUAAGAC